UGGAGAGAAGGUAGGAGGCAUUGGAGAGGGAUGGAGAGAGGGUAGGUAGCAGUGGAGAGAAGGUAGGAGGCAGUGGAGAGGGAUGGAGAGAGGGUAGGUAGCAGUGGAGAGAAGGUAGGAGGCAGUGGAGAGGGGUGGAGAGAGGGUAGGAGGCAGUGGAGAGGGGUGGAGAGAAGGUAGGAAGCAGUGGAGAGGGAUGGAGAGAAGGUAGGAAGCAGUGGAAAGGGGUGGAGAGAAGGUAGGAAGCAGUGGAGAGGGGUGGAGAGAAGGUAGGAAGCAGUGGAGAGGGAUGGAGAGAGGGUAGGAGGCAGUGGAGAGGGAUGGAGAGAAGGUAGGAAGCAGUGGAGAGGGAUGGAGAGAGGGUAGGAAGCAGUGGAGAGGGAUGAAGAGGUAGGAAGCAGUGGAGAGGGAUGGAGAGAAGGUAGGAAGCAGUGGAGAGGGAUGGAGAGAGGGUAGGAGGCAGUGGAGAGGGAUGGAGAGAAGGUAGGAAGCAGUGGAGAGGGAUGGAGAGAGGGUAGGAAGCAGUGGAGAGGGAUGGAGAGAAGGUAGGAAGCAGUGGAGAGGGGUGGAGAGAAGGUAGGAAGCAGUGGAGAGGGGUGGAGAGAAGGUAGGAAGCAGUGGAGAAGGAUGGAGAGAAGGUAGGAAGCAGUGCAAAGGGAUGGAGAGAAGGUAGGAAGCAGUGGAGAGGGGUGGAGAGAAGGUAGGAAGCAGUGGAGAGGGGUGGAGAGAAGGUAGGAAGCAGUGGAGAGGGGUGGAGAGAAGGUAGGAAGCAGUGGAGAAGGAUGGAGAGAAGGUAGGAAGCAGUGCAAAGGGAUGGAGAGAAGGUAGGAAGCAGUGGAGAGAAGGUAGGAGGCAGUAGAGAGGGAUGGAAAUAAGUAAGGGAAGCGGUGGAGAGUGAUGAGAGAAAGAAGUAGAGAGGCAGUGGAGAGGGAUGGAGAGAAGGAAGUAGGGGGCAGUGGAGAGGGAUGGAGAGAAGGUAGGAAGCAGUGGAGAAGGAUGGAGAAAAGGUAGGAAGCAGUGGAGAGAAGGUAGGAGGCAGUAGAGAGGGAUGGAAAUAAGUAAGGGAGGCGGUGGAGAGUGAUGAGAGAAGGAAGGAGGAGGACAGUGAAGAGGAAUGGAGAGAAGGAAGGAGGACGGCAGUGGAGAGAAGGAAGGAGGAGGGCAGUGGAGAGGGAUGGAGAGAAGGAAGGAGGAGGGCAGUGGUGAGGGAUGGAGAGAAGGAAGUAGGGGAGCAGUGGAGAGGGAUGGAGAGAAGGAAGGAGGAGGGCAGUGGAGAGGGAUGGAAAGA